rnacentral:lncRNA from 1 species
CCUUAUGAAUGCAAUCCAAUAUGGCGGAAAUGGUUUUAACGUCAAAUAAAACGCACAUCAACUGUUGAGAGCAGUGGCUCAAACCAAGUCGACAAAGAAGGAAGACACGCUGUCUACACCAAACUGCAGGAAGUCUUACCGGAGUCUGCAGCACAGAUGCAGGGACAUCACGCCGCACUUUCUUGGAUUUGGCACAGUACAACUCCAAAUGCUGGAGGUCACAUCCACGCACACAACACUGGUCUACAAUGCCUUUCCCACGAGAGCGAGGACCACCGCUACGAGCUGCUCCAGGAAGUCGUCGCCAGGAUGGAUGAUGCCACACUUGGCAGCAAUGGCACGUGCAGUGUUUAUAUUGUCACCCGUCACCAUACGCACAGUGAUGCCUGCUCGCUGGCACUUUCUGAUGGCAUCUGGGACCUGAUUGGAAAAUGACAUUUAGCCAACCAAAACAGAUAAGAUAUUAUCACAAAUAUCUCUUGUAUACAGCACAAUAAUAUAUGUGAAGUUUCUUCAACACCGUAAAACCCAACAGUCAACUUUAUGAAAUGAAAUGAGUGUAGUUAACUCAAAAUUGACUGAAAGUUAAUUCUACUCAUUUGAAAAGAGUUUUGAACUUUAUGUUGAAGGUAAUAAGUUAAUUAAAUACCUCAAUACUUUAACCU